UACAUGGGGUGCAGACGUUGCUCGGAAUUAUUGGGCGUAAAGCGCACGUAGGCGGUCCGUUAAGUCGGAUGUGAAAUCCCUCGGCUCAACUGAGGAAGUGCAUCCGAAACUGGCAGGCUUGAGUACGAAAGAGGGUCGCGGAAUUCCCGGUGUAGAGGUGAAAUUCGUAGAUAUCGGGAGGAACACCGGUGGCGAAGGCGGCGACCUGGGUCGAUACUGACGCUGAGGUGCGAAAGCGUGGGGAGCAAACAGG
rnacentral:rRNA from 1 species